rnacentral:rRNA from 1 species
AGAACGAACGCUGGCGGCAUGCCUAACACAUGCAAGUCGAACGCUCUUGGGGCUUCGGUUCCAAGGGAGUGGCGCACGGGUGAGUAGCGCGUGGGAACCUGCCCUGGAGUGGGGGAUAACCGAGGGAAACUUCGGCUAAUACCGCAUGCGCCCGGGAAACCGGGGAAAGAUUUAUCGCUCUAGGAGGGGCCCGCGUCGGAUUAGCUAGUUGGUGGGGUAACGGCCUACCAAGGCUUUGAUCCGUAGCUGGUCUGAGAGGAUGAUCAGCCACACUGGGACUGAGACACGGCCCAGACUCCUACGGGAGGCAGCAGUGGGGAAUAUUGGACAAUGGGCGCAAGCCUGAUCCAGCAAUGCCGCGUGAGUGAUGACGGCCUUAGGGUUGUAAAGCUCUUUCGCUCGGGACGAUAAUGACGGUACCGAGAUAAGAAGCCCCGGCUAACUUCGUGCCAGCAGCCGC